GCACUGGAUCAUAGACUUCCCCCCCGUCUCUGCAAGAAGCCUUUUUAGUCACCCAUUAUUAGACUGACAAAAGGUUCCAAGUUUCCGGGUUCACUCUGAGCUCGAUUUUAGCCUCCCAGGGAGGAAGUCAGAAAGAACCGCUCACAGGAAGCGCUGGCGGAAGCCCAAGUUUUAAUGUAGCUGCGUUUGAGCAGCGGCUUAUCCAUUAAGAAGCCAACGGUAGUAGCAUUCAUUUCAGUGAAAAGCGGCGUAGAAAUACAUUUCAUCUUUCUAACAUAGCAUGACUGCCAAUCCGAAAGUUGCUUAGCAAUAGCCCUGUAAGCGCAGGUCUUUAUUGCAGGCUGAAGAUGGACCGAGGUCGCUUUACGCUUUCCAUUCAUAAAUGGUAUCCAUCCCAUGCAAAACACUCUCAAGGAGAAAACAGCGCCAACAGGAACCGGAACUUCCUUCUUCAGGCAUCUUAAUCACGACUUUACUCUUCAAUCUCGAUAGUAUAGGCUCUAUGGAAAGCAAUGGGGCGGCCUGGCGUUACCGGCCUUCGUCUGUCUGAAGCCCUCGCCAGAGAGGGAGGCGCCGCAGAGUCACAGAGGCCUAAAGCGGGCUGUGCUGCGCGAAUUCCUGGCUCAAGAAGAGGUUGCGGCUCCUCCUUUUUUCUCUCCUGACAGUUCUUGUACCUUCAAGAGCUUUCAGAACAGGCUGAAAUUCUUCAUGCUGACAGGAAGAGAAGCUGCUCCUGCAAAUCAUGCAACAGUUAAAGACGCUUUGUCAGGAAAAAGAAUCAUAUAUACUGGUACUGUUUAGGAUGCCAGGCUCCAGCUGAUCACUUCCAUUUUACUCCUGAGUAUUUCUAUCAGUUUCAUGGGCUUGUUCCAGCAUAAAACAGGCCAUGUCAUCUUGCAGUAACAACUAGACCCCUUCAAAAGCAGAAAUAUUUUCAUAAAUUAACACCUUCCAUAGUAUUUUUUGUGUGUGUGUGUAAUGUGAUUUGGAAUUGCUUGUAGUGAGUUGGUGUGGUGUAAUAGCAAGUGUGAAAUGGAAAUCUCUCAUCAGCCGUGGAGUUCGGAAGUUGCCUUAGGCAGCUCAUAAUCCAGCCUUAUCAAACGUGGUACCACGGCAGUGGGCCAGCAUAAAGCAUUCCACACUGAGGCAAUACCACUGAGUAGCUGCUUUCUCCUGCACCUCAGCUCAGGUGGCAGGGGGUACACAGAAAAGGGCUUCUGAAAAUAACAAUUGGGCAGGUUCAUUUGGGAACUGGUAAUCCUUCAAAAACUGGAUCCAAGUACAUGUUUUAAAUCUUACUUUUUCAUCUGCAUUAUUAUUAUAUGUAUAAGAUUUCUUAUCCGCCGUUUACUAUAGGAUCCCAGGAUGUGUUACAAUGGCAAAAGCAAUACAGUUUAAAACAAAACCAACCACUAGUAAAAUAUUUAUCAUCAUCAUAUUAAUUGACAGUUUCAGAUAGGUCACAGAACAACAGCCCUAUUUCAGAUUGGUGACAAACUCUUCACUAACAGAGAAAGGUCCCUGAGACACCUCAACAGGUGGUCACACUAUGUUUGGGGUAUCCAAUGACACAGGUGGGCUGUUCUGACAAUCCACUUGUUCUUUCUCUUGGAUCCAGAGCUCUAUGUCCUAAGCCCUAGGACCCUAAGUUCAGACUCCUCCUGGGGUCCUAGAUUCCUAUUCCCUUCUUACAGGCUGACCUCCUUCAGCUCUGAUCUCCUCCCACUUUUCCUCAACAUUCAACCCCACUCUCUAUACUGUCUCUAUGAGACUCUUGGCUCCAGCUCCCAUCAGACCUAGCCAACAUGACCAAUGAUCAGGAAAGAGGGAAUCUAACAAUAUCUGGUAGACCACAGGUUCCCCAACCCUGUACUAAUUCCUGUAGUUGCUUUUUUAAAAGUAAGUAAAAUAAUAUAAACAGAAAAUAUUCAACAUUAAUAUACAAGAUUGGCUAAGGGUUUUAAGCCAAGAAGGGAACUUACUACUUAGAAACUUCUACCUCAAUACCACCUUCAUUUGUAAAAUUAUAUUAAAGGUUUAAUAUAAAUUUGUAGAUGCAAGAAGUCAGAAAAAUUUCUAGCAAUUCUAAGUGUUAGUUCAACAUACCAUUAUAUCUAUCUGUAUCUAGAGAGAGAUAACCUUAUGCUUCCCACUGUAACAAUCAUUUAUUACUAAAAGUGUCUCCCUACAUAGUUUGUGCAAUGCAAUUUAGAAUUAUUUAUAAACAUUUUAAUAUCAAAGAAAUGUAGUAUAACAUGUCACACAUUUGGGCCCAUUAGUGACUGUAUUAUUCCUAGUAUAUUCAGUUUGCUGUCACAAACUAUUGGUUUGUCAAUUGUUAAGUGAUUGUUGUAUGUACAAUAGAGCAUUCUUUACAUUAGCAGUAGAUUAGUUACCUAUUGGUGCCUGUUGAAAAUACUGAGAAAUUCAGAUGCAAUUAUAUUUGAAAUGGCAGUUUGAAAAAGAAAAUGUCCCCCUCAGAAUAACAUUAUCAUUUGCUGGCAGCUGCUGGUGCUAUAUAAACAGUAUAAUACUUCUUA